UUAUGAAUCUAGUCCCCAGAAAGUAUUCAAAAAAGGCAGCUAGUAUUUCACUUCUGUAUAAGAAUAUUUUAAUUCUGAUUCUGUAAAAUGAUUUUAAGUAUUCUUGAAGGGACAGAGGAAGAGAGAGAAAUUUGAAAUUCUUUCCUCUUCUGAUUUUCAGUGAGCCAUGUAUAUAUUCUUUUUUUUUUUUUUAAUCUUAUUAAAUCCACACAAAUAGAGAAAGUCCAGCAUAAACCUGAGUAAGAAGAAAGGAUUCAGAUACUGGAUCAACCUAAAUUCAUUCAGGAAGAUAUAACUAGCCACCGUAAAAUUGUUGGUGCUAUUUAGGUAUUUAAAAAUUAAACAAGCCAUUUUUAAAAGUCACUAAAAUGGCACCUAGAACAUAGUAUAUACCCAAUCAAUGUUAGCUCGAUGUGAUUAUUUCAAAAUAUACUUUUUAUAAAAUGAAUCUUUAAAAUGCAAAUGUAAUUCUGUUUAGGGGAACAAAUACCCAACUAUAAACAAUGAGAUAACUGAUCUGUUUUCUUUUCAAAAAGAAAGGGAGUAUUAUCAUGCUUUUAUAGUUAUUUGCUUUUAAUGUGUACUUAUUCGAAGAAGAAUUUGAAUGUUGCAGUACAUUUACAGAGAUACAUAAAUAAGUACAAGACAUAGAAUGAUACUCAAAUGACAAAGUCUGUCAAAUAAAAAAAAAAAAAAUCAAAGUUUUUUUAACCCCUGAAAAGAGACAGAGUAGCAGAGUGUGGUUUCAGUGUGUCCCAGGAUCAUGCUGCCUCGGGUUUGCCUGUUGGCUCUGCUUCUCACAGAGGUCACUCCCUGUACCUUAGUUUUGUGAUCUGUAAAAUGUGGAAAAAAAAAAAAAAAGCCUGCUUCUUUAUUCAUAGGUUUGUUAUGAGUUCUUAUUUGUAAAACAUUUAAGCAGCAACCAGUACAUAAUAAAUGCUAUGUUAGUAACUAUUAAAUAAAAGAAAUACACUUACCUCUGUAUUGUAUUUCCUUCAAUAGGAAACAAAAGAAUUUUUUUCCCCAUGAUACAAACCUGUCCCUUCAUACCCAAAGUGCAAAAAUCAUCAUUUAAUUUGUCAUUUUAAGACAUAACAAAUUACCAUUUAGGAUUCUCUUUUAAUCUUCAUGAAAAUUUUAUGAGGCAGGUACUCUUAUCUGCAUUUUAUAGAUGAAGAAGGAGUGACUGAUGAGUAAGAUAUUUUGUUAUAGACAUUGCCUUGCAAUCAUGGUCAAGCAUGGUAUCAUCUUUUGCCCUGAGGCCACAUUAUCAUAAGCACAGGUGGAUUUCUACCUCCAGAUUUAGAAGCCCUGAGGGUGAAGUUCCUGAAAGGGGGCUUCACUUCCAAAGUUGUCAGUUCACCUGUGUCUCCUAUAAUGGCAGCUAGGACUUUACCCCACUACUUGAAAUGGAUGUGGUGGCCACACAGAAUCUGAUUCAAUGUUCUUGUUUCCCUAGAAGCUCAAACUACAAUUUCCACAUUAUAUUCCUAUAGUAGGUAUGAAAAGGCAAUUUAGAUGUUAAAUAUGUAUAUUAAAUUAAUAAAAGGCACAUAUAUGUCAAUUUUUUGCCAGUAACAGUCAAAGGAAAUAAAAAUGAAAGAUACCUUCUGUUUCCUAGGAUCUUUUUCAAUUACUUGUAAGGGCUUGAAUUUGAUUCUUUUUUAUUUUAAGCUUGAGAAAAGGUUUGAAGUUUUCUUUUUUUCAUUAUUGUGUACUAAAUUUUUGUCACAUAUCUUAACCUUCCCUCUUCAAAGAGAAUGCUUUUUUCAGAAAGGAUGUGAUUUUCAUUUUGAGUAGCUAAUUUAUUUAUCAGUAUUACCUGUAGAUGACUUGCAACAGAGAUAAGCUUCACAUAGAAGGAAGCAGACCCUUCUGUUCCCAAGGUGAUUCAUAUUUAUUGAGGCUAACCCAUUUCUAUCUAUAUUCACUGUUCUCAAAUCUGAAACCCAGCAAAAGAAGACAUCCUGUUAUUUUCUUUUCACUUCCUCUUCUUGUUUUUUUAAAGAUUAGUAGAAACAUUUCAGCUUCUUUGUCAGAAACAAAAAUAAGUAUAAAUACUAACAAUAUGUGUUUCUUAUUAAAGCAAGUUAACAGUACAGGAGAAUCAAAUACAUAUUCUACACAUAGAAUUCAGGUUUCAGAACAAUUUAAUUCAGUUAUUCUAAAGCUAAUAAUUCAAAAUAUAGUUUGAUAUUUACUAUAUAGCAUGCAAUAUAAUAUAAAUAAAAAUCAUUUAUAAAAAUUAAGUACAUAAUAAUGACUGUGAAUUAGCUUCAAAACAGUUGCAUAUUAUAAGUAUUAUUAAAUUCAUUUUCAGGCAGUGGCCAUUAAAUACAUAUAGUAUUAUUGGAUGACUGCAAUGCUUAUGAAGAAUAAAAUUUGGGAGUAAAUAUUAUAUAUUUAAACAAAUUUAACAUCUAUUUAAACAAAUUUAUAUGUUGUAAAUGAAAAGUUCUCCUUCUUGAGAUUUAUAGAAUUUAUCUGUAAUCUACUCUUAAAGAAGUUCUAUCUAUAUAUUACUUUUAAUGCAGUUUAUCUUUUGCUGUGAACCUAGGUAAACCUUUUUUAUUAACUUUUAAUUAUGCAAUAAUUUUAAACAAAUAUAUCUAUAUCACAUAAAUUUUUAAAGGAACCUCUUUAAAUAUCUUCAUUAUUUGAAAAAUUGAUUUUAUCAUCUUUUCAUCCAAUUCAAUGGGAGUUCCAAAUGAAUAUUUGCUAAGAAUAUACAGCAUAAUUCAUAAGGUUCUAAAACUGGAAAAUUACAAGGAAAGAUUCCUGAAUUAUUAUAUGGUAAUUAUGAUAAUGAAUCACUUCCAAUAAUGUAGGAUUCAAUAACGUCCUAGUCAGCUCUUCAGUACUGUUUCAGGGUAAAAGUUGAUCACAAAUGCAACUAGAUUCUAUAUCUCUACAUCGACAGGAAGCUUUCUUGCAAAUUUAAUCUAUUACUCAGAUCACUACAAUUAUAAACAAUAGGACAGUUCUAUUAGAGGGUAUAUAUGGACUCAUUUUAAACCUAAUAUGACAUUUUGUAUACAACAUAGAAUGUUAAUUAUUAGCCCCUAAAUUAUCAAGCCUGUCACAGCCUAUUUAUCUUAGAAAAUGGUAUCAGUAUUUCCCCUUUUCCUUAGGGCAAAACUAUAGAUUAUCCUUGAUUUCUCUCACCUUCUGAAAUUAUUAGUUUGAUUACCUAUUUUCUGUUUCUGCUUGAGAAUAUAAGUGCCACCAGAACAGGGAAGUGUCUGUCUUAUUCACAGUAAUAGCCUUAACAUCCAAACUGAUCCCUGGAACAUAGUAAACAGUCUAUAAGUACUUGAUGAACAAAUUAAUUAAUUGGUCAAGGCUAUGUACUAUCCUCAGUGACUCUCAAGAAAGCUGGAGUCUUGAGCUCAAACCUUUGAAUUCUUCCUGGCAUGUCUCUUUUUCCUCUACAAGUAAGAGGUAAUCUAGGACAAAGAUGUUUUAAGAGGACAGAAGAGGAAAGGACGUUCUGAUUCUUUACCUAAAAUUGAAAAAAAGUUUAUGUUAAAGCUCUUUGUUAUACAGAUAAAAUCACCCUAACUUAAAAAAAAAUUAAAUAUGGUUUAAACACCACUAAAAUAUCUUGGUGUUCAAAUUCAUGCCAUCUAACCUAGUUUUCCUGACUUAAAGGCUACCAGUAGUUCACGCUUGCCCACUUCAAUCUGAUAAUUAGCUUAUUAUGUCCAUAAUAAUCCAGUUACACAGAAAAAGAAUCUCCUUAGCAAAAUAAAGGACGUCUUUUUUUUAAUAAAGGACAUUUUGUAAUCAUUUUCUGCAAAGCCAACCCCAGUUUGACAAUAAGUUUUAUUGCCUUUGAAUACCUUCUCUCGUAAUAAAGCUGAAUGGAUUUUCCAUUAUUGCAAAGUACUCACAAAGUACCAGCAGGGUAAAAUGGUGAUUAUAAAGAGAGAAUAAAUAAUCAGUGACUCAAUGUCCCCAUUUAAGUUAAGUGAAACAAUUAUGUUUCCCUGCCUCCCUCCCAAGGCCAGCGAAAGAUCUAUUUGAUAUAUUUGGAAUUUCUUGUAGGUAACAACAACAACAAAACACUCCUCUGAUUAUCUGAGAUGUCCAAUUCAUUUCAUUAAGCACCUCCUGUUGAAAAGAAUGUUUUUGGCAAUUUACUUUACCUUCAUAAAUUGCCAGGUUUGAGACUUGGAGAAUUCUGUUCAGAAACGUGUUCGAUUGACACAAAACCUUCAUCUUUAUGUGCUCAUCCUGCGUCAGAACAGUGCACUUUCCAGGGGUAUUUGAAACUUGGCUUGUUCUUUACUUGUGCUAGACAUUUUGAAAUUGGCAAGGGCAUUGGAUUGUUACUUAGAUUUUUUUUUUCCCCUUCACUGCCCAUAAACAAUAAAUUUGCCACAACAUUUCAUUCUCAAGAAAAUGACCCAACAGUGUAUCCUUAGCCCCAAUGUUGCUGCUGCCUUAAUAACAUUAUCACCAAAAUAAUUUCCUAGCUCUUCUAUAAAUACAAAAGAGUAAAUCCUCUUUUCAUCUCCUGAAAGUCUGUAUUGCUUAGUAAAGUUGUCGGCUGUUGUCUUGAAAAAUAACUGAUUUGAGCCUCCAUUUGUACAUUUUAGAAAGGAGCAUGUCCACGCUCUACCCCAAAUAUUCUUUGACAUGUUAAUAGUCACAUUUUUGAAGCCUGUGUGAUUCACAGAGAAGAUCUCAAGAUAAAUCUCUUCGUAUUUAUAUCUGCCAAGAAGAUAAUUCAGUUUAUAAGAUCUUGUCAUGGAAACAGGGUAAAUCCAGCUUCAAACAGAGGAUAAGGUUUGCUUCACUACAGGGAUUCAGAAGCUGCUACUUCCACAUUUACACAAAAUAAACUACAGGGCAAGUCAGAACAGCAAUCCAAGUAGUGACCUCUCUCUGAGCCCCCAUAAACCAGAUAAUUCACCUCUGCCCUAAGCAGGCUACUGUCUUUGGAGAUCAUGAUGCUGACUGCAUGCAGAUCUUAGAAAAUCUGCUCAUAGCUGUGACUCUCCUCUCAGGAGAGAGAAAUGCACAGUGGAAAUAUAAACAAACCCAUCCUGGUUUGGGUUUAUAGAACUUGCUUUAUAGAACUUUCUGCUCAAGUGACAGUUUUUAAAUGUUGGUACUCAAAUCAAAGUUUCCUGGCUAGAGACUGAGAGCUGAUACUCUCAUAUCUAGGUCUUGAAGGUAUUAUGGUGGUUUGUCUGUUUGUUUGCUUGCUCCUAAUGAGUUGAAAACUUACUUACAGAGUUCCUGUCGUGGCACAGUGGAAACGAAUCCAAAUAGGAACCUUGAGGUUUCAGGUUCAAUCCCUAGCCUCACUCGGUGGGUUAAGGAUCUGGCCUUGCUAUGAGCUGUGGUAUAGGUCGAAUACUCACCUGGGAUCUGGUGUUGCUGUGGCUGUGGCAUAGGCCAGCAGCUGUAGCUCCAAUUAGACCCCUAGCCUGGGAAUCUCCAUAUGCCCCGAGGGUAUGGCCCU
rnacentral:lncRNA from 1 species